rnacentral:rRNA from 1 species
UGGGGAAUAUUGGACAAUGGGGGGAACCCUGAUCCAGCCAUGCCGCGUGUGUGAAGAAGGCCUUAUGGUUGUAAAGCACUUUAAGCGAGGAGGAGGGUACUGGUAUUAAUACUACCAGGUACUGGACGUUACUCGCAGAAUAAGCACCGGCUAACUCUUUGCCAGCAGCCGCGGUAAUACAGAGGGUGCGAGCGUUAAUCGGAUUUACUGGGCGUAAAGCGUGCGUAGGCGGCUAAUUGAGUCGGAUGUGAAAUCCCCGAGCUUAACUUGGGAAUUGCAUUCGAUACUGGUUAGCUAGAGUGUGGGAGAGGAUGGUAGAAUUCCAGGUGUAGCGGUGAAAUGCGUAGAGAUCUGGAGGAAUACCGAUGGCGAAGGCAGCCAUCUGGCCUAACACUGACGCUGAGGUACGAAAGCAUGGGGAGCAAACAGG